CCUACGAGUGGCAGCAGUGAGGAAUAUUGGUCAAUGGCCGAGAGGCUUAACCAACCAAGUCGCGUGAGGGAAGACGGCCCUACGGGUUGUAAACCUCUUUUGUCGGGGAGCAAAGCGAACCACGUGUGGUUCAUUGAGCGUACCCGAAGAAAAAGCCUCGGCUAACUCCGUGCCAGCCGCCGCGGUAAUACGGAGGAUGCGAGCGUUCUCCGGAUUUAUUGGGUUUACAGGGUGCGCAGGCGGAGGUGCAAGUCAGCGGGAAAAUUGCGGGGCUCAACCCCGUACUGCCGUUGAAACUGCAUCCCUUGAGUGCGCGAGAAGUAUGCGGAAUGCGUGGUGUAGCGGUGAAAUGCAUAGAUAUCACGCAGAACUCCGAUUGCGAAGGCAGCAUACCGGCGCGCAACUGACGCUCAUGCACGAAAGCGUGGGUAUCGAACAGGAUUAGAUACCCCAGUAGUC
rnacentral:rRNA from 1 species